CAGCAGCCGCGGUAAUACGGAGGGGGCUAGCGUUGUUCGGAAUGACUGGGCGUAAAGGGCGCGUAGGCGGAUGGCACAGUCAGAUGUGAAAUUCCCGGGCUUAACCUGGGGGCUGCAUUUGAUACGUGUUGUCUAGAGUGAGGAAGAGGGUUGUGGAAUUCCCAGUGUAGAAGUGGAAUUCGUAGAUAUUGGGAAGAACACCGGUGGCGAAGGCGGCAGCCUGGUCCUUGACUGACGCUGAGGCGCGAAAGCGUGGGGAGCAAACAGGAUUAGAUACCCGCGUAGUCCCUGUCUCUUAUAC
rnacentral:rRNA from 1 species